rnacentral:rRNA from 1 species
AGUGAACGCUGGCGGUAGGCCUAACACAUGCAAGUCGAACGGCAGCACAGUAAGAGCUUGCUCUUACGGGUGGCGAGUGGCGGACGGGUGAGGAAUACAUCUGAAUCUACUUUUUCGUGGGGGAUAACGUAGGGAAACUUACGCUAAUACCGCAUACGACCUACGGGUGAAAGCAGGGGAUCUUCGGACCUUGCGCGAUUGAAUGAGCCGAUGUCGGAUUAGCUAGUUGGCGGGGUAAAGGCCCACCAAGGCGACGAUCCGUAGCUGGUCUGAGAGGAUGAACAGCCACACUGGAACUGAGACACGGUCCAGACUCCUACGGGAGGCAGCAGUGGGGAAUAUUGGACAAUGGGCGCAAGCCUGAUCCAGCCAUACCGCGUGGGUGAAGAAGGCCUUCGGGUUGUAAAGCCCUUUUGUUGGGAAAGAAAAGCAGCAGGUUAAUACCCCGCUGUUCUGACGGUACCCAAAGAAUAAGCACCGGCUAACUUCGUG